GCCAGGGGAUGGCAGAGGUAGAAGAGGCUGAAGCUAUUCUGUCAGCUCCUUAUUCACUGAGAUUCUUUAUUUGUGGGACAUCAUUUUGGUGGACGUACUACUAACUGGAAGAAGCAUCUAUGAUGUGAAAAUAGUCCUCUUUCAGCUGUAUGCCCCCUGCACAGCCGCGUUUCUCGCUCGCUGCCAUCCCGAAGUUUCCCUCUGUCUUGCAUGAAGAAAAAAUAAAUAAAGAAGCAUCUGUUGAAGACACAUUGGGUGAUUUUUUUUGUGAGAGAAGCAGUGUUGGAGUGAGAGAGCGGAGAAGAGGAUGAUUCAGAGCUUGACAUGGAUACGGACCAAAUCCAGCAGAUUUUUAUUUUUUUUACAAACUAUGCGAUUGAGAAUUUACA